rnacentral:rRNA from 1 species
UACGAAGCGGGCUAGCGUUGCUCGGAAUCACUGGGCGUAAAGCGCACGUAGGCGGCUUCUUAAGUCAGGGGUGAAAUCCUGGAGCUCAACUCCAGAACUGCCUUUGAUACUGAGGAGCUUGAGUCCGGGAGAGGUGAGUGGAACUGCGAGUGUAGAGGUGAAAUUCGUAGAUAUUCGCAAGAACACCAGUGGCGAAGGCGGCUCACUGGCCCGGUACUGACGCUGAGGUGCGAAAGCGUGGGGAGCAAACAGG